CUGGUCUCAAACUUAGAACAACUAGGAAUUUUAAAUUUCAAAUCUUUAAAAAGACAAAUUAUUGUAAUUUUUUGAAGAACAAAGUAGUCCGAGUGGUGAAUCAAAGAUUUGAGUGUCUCAAAUGUCUCAGCUUCACCUUCACCUUCACCUUCACGGUCACUAUCUCUACCUCCCACACUCUUCUCUUCGUUCAAGAUUCCCUUCUUCACCCUACUUACAUCUCUUCGGUGCAGCUUUUUCGUCAACCAACCCUCCCCUCUCCCUCUCUCUCAACUCAACUAAAUCUACCGUCUCUUGUCCUCUCACCGUCGUCAGAUCUCGUUUCAGCGAACCCGGUGAAGAUUCUUUUUCAGAUAUUACGCCACAAUAUGUAUUGAGUAAGACACAAGACAAACAGAAACCACAAAAGCUAGCGAAUGGCAUAUUCUUGAUCAUACUUAUCAAUCUUGCCAUAUUUAUGGCUGAACACUUCUAUCAGGUUCGCUGGAUCAAAUCUUUGUAUUUGUAUAGUGAUUUUCCGGUAUGGUAUCAGUUUGUGACAGCAACGUUCCGGUAUGGUAUCAGUCUCCAGAUUUCCUCUCUCUUCUCUUCUCGUCGUCUUCCUCCGCCGCAGCUACCACCAAACCCACUCGAUUCAACUGAAACCCGUUCUGCUUCCACAUCUUCCACCAUUUCUUGUCACCUUAACUCCAGAUUUGGCUAUCUCUACUACACAAAAUUUGUUUCUAUAGAAACCCAGAAGCAGCCAUGGUAAUUCCUCAACUCCGCCUCUUAAUCUCCAUCUUUAAUGAUGAAGUUUUUGUUUACGAGCUUGAUUUUGUAGAUUUCAGAUGAGCUAUUUGUUGUCUUGAAGCGUAGUGAUAAAGUUUGUAGAGAUAGUAUGAAGAUUAGGGAUGUGGGAAUGAGGAAGCAAGCUUUGAUUAAGCUUAAUGAAUAGAGUUUCUUAACGCUUAAAGAUGAGAAAUUUAGGUUUACUUUUUGUGAUUGUUUUGUUAUUUCCUUUGGUUGGUUUUUAAUUGUAGAAGAGGAUGAGGAAAGGAACUAAAGUUGGUAAUCACGCAUGUAUUCUAGUGAUUUGCUGACAAGGUCUCGUUUUGGUGUCUUUGUAGAUGAGGACCAAAACAAAACUUUAUAAGGCACAUAUAUCUGUGUUAUUGUGGGAGAGAACUCAACCGUCUUUGGGAAAAUCGCACCAAGCAGUGACGAGGAAGAUGAUGAAGAUAGGAUUGAAAAGGGUGCUGCAGCUUUCAAUUCCUCCUGGUUACCGGGAAGUGACCCCAAGUAUGUCUUUCUUCCUCGAGUCUCAAACCAAUGACCCAAACCCUUUUGAUGUUCAAAGUUAGGUUCCUUCACUAUCCCUCCUUCCCUUAUGUUUAUGAAAACUUUUGUAAUAUUUGCGACUUGUACUCUUGGAUGUUUUCUUGAACUUAUGUUAGAUGUAAAAUUAAACU